rnacentral:rRNA from 1 species
GAUGAACGCUGGCGGCGUGCCUAAUACAUGCAAGUCGAGAGAACGGACGAGAAGCUUGCUUCUCUGAUGUUAGCGGCGGACGGGUGAGUAACACGUGGAUAACCUACCUAUAAGACUGGGAUAACUUCGGGAAACCGGAGCUAAUACCGGAUAAUAUUUUGAACCGCAUGGUUCAAAAGUGAAAGACGGUCUUGCUGUCACUUAUAGAUGGAUCCGCGCUGCAUUAGCUAGUUGGUAAGGUAACGGCUUACCAAGGCAACGAUGCAUAGCCGACCUGAGAGGGUGAUCGGCCACACGGGAACUGAGACACGGUCCAGACUCCUACGGGAGGCAGCAGUAGGGAAUCUUCCGCAAUGGGCGAAAGCCUGACGGAGCAACGCCGCGUGAGUGAUGAAGGUCUUCGGAUCGUAAAACUCUGUUAUUAGGGAAGAACAUAUGUGUAAGUAACUGUGCACAUCUUGACGGUACCUAAUCAGAAAGCCACGGCUAACUACGUG